AAGUCGGACUAAUACCGUAUGUUGUCCAUUGACGGCAUCCGAUUUGGACGAAAGGCUUGGCGGUGAGGGAUGGGGAUGCGUCCGAUUAGCCAGACGGCGGGGUAACGGCCCACCGUGGCGACGAUCGGUAGGGGUUCUGAGAGGAAGGUCCCCCACACUGGAACUGAGACACGGUCCAGACUCCUACGGGAGGCAGCAGUGAGGAAUAUUGGUCAAUGGGCGUAAGCCUGAACCAGCCAAGUAGCGUGCAGGACGACGGCCCUAUGGGUUGUAAACUGCUUUUAUGCGGGGAUAAAGUGGCCCACGUGUGGGUUUUUGCAGGUACCGCAUGAAUAAGGACCGGCUAAUUCCGUGCCAGCAGCCGCGGUAAUACGGAAGGUCCGGGCGUUAUCCGGAUUUAUUGGGUUUAAAGGGAGCGUAGGCCGCGCCUUAAGCGUGUUGUGAAAUCCGGGUGCUCAACAUCCGGCUUGCAGCGCGAACUGGGGCGCUUGAGUGCGCAGAAAGUAGGCGGAAUUCGUGGUGUAGCGGUGAAAUGCUUAGAUAUCACGAGGAACUCCGAUUGCGAAGGCAGCCUACUGUAGCGCUACUGACGCUGAUGCUCGAAAGCGUGGGUAUCGAACAGGAUUAGAUACCCUGGUAGUCCACGCGGUAAACGAUGGAUGCUCGUUGUCGGCCCUUUGGGUCGGUGACCAAGCGAAAGCGUUAAGCAUCCCACCUGGGGAGUACGUCGGCAACGGUGAAACUUAAAGGAAUUGACGGG
rnacentral:rRNA from 1 species